UUUUCAUUUUAUGGCAGCUUGGCAAAUUAUGUAUGAAAAAGUAUGCAUCUCAGCGCACUGGCAGAACUUUCUCUCAGCUAGAUACAUCUAUUUUGGAGGAUGAAACAGUUUCUAGGACUUGGACGGAGACAAAGAGAAAGAUGCUACAUGAAAACGGUAACCAGACUCCACCUCUAUGCAGGAACUGGAAAGAAGAGAACGAGUGAAAACUUCCUUACAACUGAAAAAAAUGGAAGCGGGCUUGUGUCUUAAUGGAUUACAGAAGGAAAUGGAAAUUUGUCCAAAAUACAUCUGAUCACAGGGCAGUGAAGUUAACCAGCUUUGGAGACCACUUUAUAGGCACUGUCUCAGGAGUGGGAUUGUCCUGGGAGACUAUUCCUCCUAGUAAGCACCACAGCCAAAGGAACUGAGGGGCAUAACCUGC
rnacentral:lncRNA from 1 species